rnacentral:rRNA from 1 species
CGUGGGUGGAUGAGUGGCGAACGGGUGAGUAACACGUGAGUAACCUGCCCCUUCUUUGGGAUAACGCCCGGAAACGGGUGCUAAUACUGGAUAUUCACUUGCCUUCGCAUGGGGGUUGGUGGAAAGGGUUUUUUCUGGUGGGGGAUGGGCUCGCGGCCUAUCAGCUUGUUGGUGGGGUGAUGGCCUACCAAGGCUUUGACGGGUAGCCGGCCUGAGAGGGUGACCGGUCACAUUGGGACUGAGAUACGGCCCAG